CAUUUUCACCCCAUUGAUGGCUGGGUUGAUUCAGCUGGUCUGGCUGGCUAGGGGAGUG
rnacentral:sRNA from 1 species